CCUACGGGAGGCUGCAGUGGGGAAUAUUGGACAAUGGGCGAAAGCCUGAUCCAGCCAUGCCGCGUGUGUGAAGAAGGCCUUUGGGUUGUAAAGCACUUUCAGUGGGGAAGAAAGCCUUGGGGCUAAUACCCUCGAGGAAGGACAUCACCCACAGAAGAAGCACCGGCUAACUCCGUGCCAGCAGCCGCGGUAAUACGGAGGGUGCGAGCGUUAAUCGGAAUUACUGGGCGUAAAGCGCGCGUAGGCGGUCUGAUAAGCCAGUUGUGAAAGCCCCGGGCUCAACCUGGGAACGGCAUCCGGAACUGUCAGGCUAGAGUGCAGGAGAGGAAGGUAGAAUUCCCGGUGUAGCGGUGAAAUGCGUAGAGAUCGGGAGGAAUACCAGUGGCGAAGGCGGCCUUCUGGACUGACACUGACGCUGAGGUGCGAAAGCGUGGGUAGCAAACAGGAUUAGAUACCCGAGUAGUC
rnacentral:rRNA from 1 species